UACGUAGGGUGCAAGCGUUGUCCGGAAUUAUUGGGCGUAAAGAGCUCGUAGGCGGUCUGUCGCGUCUGCUGUGAAAACUCGGGGCUUAACCCCGGGCCUGCAGUGGGUACGGGCAGACUAGAGUGCGGUAGGGGAGACUGGAAUUCCUGGUGCAGCGGUGAAAUGCGCAGAUAUCAGGAGGAACACCGGUGGCGAAGGCGGGUCUCUGGGCCGUAACUGACGCUGAGGAGCGAAAGCAUGGGGAGCGAACAGG
rnacentral:rRNA from 1 species